CCAAUAGCGUAUAUUAAAGUUGUUGCAGUUAAAAAGCUCGUAGUUGAAUUUCGGGAUCAAAGAAUCGGUCAUGCCUUGGUAUGUACUGGUUUUAUUGGUUCUCACCUUCUAAAGAACCAUGAUGUCAUUCAUUUGAUGUUAUGGGGAAUUAGGACUGUUACCUUGAAAAAAUUAGAGUGUUUAAAGCAAGCUUACGCUUGAAUACAUUAGCAUGGAAUAAUGAAAUAGGACAUCAGAUUCUAUUUUGUUGGUUUCUAGGAUCGAUGUAAUGAUUAAUAGGGAUAGUUGGGGGCAUUAGUAUUCAAUUGUCAGAAGUGAAAUUCUUGGAUUUAUUGAAGACUAACUACUGCGAAAGCAUUUGCCAAGGAUGUUUUCAUUAAUCAAGAACGAAAGUUAGGGGAUCGAAGACGAUCAGAUACCGUCGUAGUCUUAACCAUAAACUAUGCCGACUAGGGAUCGGAUGAUGUUAAUUUUUUAAUGACUCAUUCGGCACCUUACG
rnacentral:misc_RNA from 1 species